rnacentral:rRNA from 1 species
AAAGGAAUAGACGGGGGCCCGCACAAGCAGUGGAGUAUGUGGUUUAAUUCGAGGCAACGCGAAGAACCUUACCAGGGCUUGACAUCCUCUGACAGGCUAAGAGAUUAGCUUUCCCUUCGGGGCAGAGAGACAGGUGGUGCAUGGUUGUCGUCAGCUCGUGUCGUGAGAUGUUCGGUUAAGUCCGGCAACGAGCGCAACCCCUAUUGCUAGUUACCAUCAUUAAGUUGGGGACUCUAGCGAGACUGCCGUUGACAAAACGGAGGAAGGUGGGGAUGACGUCAAAUCAUCAUGCCCCUUACGUCCUGGGCUACACACGUACUACAAUGGUAACGACAGAGGGCAGCGACUGCGCGAGCAGGAGCGAAUCCCAAAACGUUAUCUCAGUUCGGAUUGUAGGCUGCAACUCGCCUACAUGAAGUCGGAAUUGCUAGUAAUGGCAGGUCAGCAUACUGCCGUGAAUACGUUCCCGGGCCUUGUACACACCGCCCGU